ACUGGCACAAAAGAAGAAACCUCUCUGCUAGGAACUGAUAUCCUUUCUACAUAUUCGAGAAAGAAAGCCAAUUAUCCACUUUUCCAGCUAUUGAUCAAAGCAGCUGGGCUUGUACAAACAUGUUUGUUCUUUAAUUAUUACUUUCAGUUUAGAUUUUAAAAGAUUCACCCAAUCAUAAAACGAACUGGUCAGUUAUUCUUCUCCUGCUUGAUUGACAGCCUGGAAUGGGGGAAGUAAAAAUUGCUUAAAUUUUAUAAAUUCAAAUUGGAGUUUGCCAAUUCAAGCUGUCUAGGGGUUUGGAGUAUACAUUUAACAGAGAUGA
rnacentral:lncRNA from 1 species